AUUGGUGGCACAUCUCGCAAAUGCGGGAGGUAUAAGUGCGCAUCGUUAUAAAGUAAGAUUUAAGCACCUAAACCCAAAGACCCGCACAAUAUGCGGGUUUUUUUAU
rnacentral:sRNA from 1 species